rnacentral:rRNA from 2 species
UGGGGAAUAUUGCGCAAUGGAGGAAACUCUGACGCAGCAACGCCGCGUGAAUGAUGAAGGCCUUAGGGUUGUAAAGUUCUGUCUUCUGGGACGAUAAUGACGGUACCAGAGGAGGAAGCCACGGCUAACUACGUGCCAGCAGCCGCGGUAAUACGUAGGUGGCAAGCGUUGUCCGGAUUUACUGGGCGUAAAGGAUGCGUAGGCGGAUAUUUAAGUCAGAUGUGAAAUACCCGGGCUCAACUUGGGUGCUGCAUUUGAAACUGGAUAUCUAGAGUGCGGGAGAGGUAAGUGGAAUUCCUAGUGUAGCGGUGAAAUGCGUAGAGAUUAGGAAGAACACCAGUGGCGAAGGCGACUUACUGGACCGUAACUGACGCUGAGGCAUGAAAGCGUGGGGAGCAAACAGG